CCCUUAGAUGUUCUGGGCGGCCCGCGCACUACAAUGGCGCUUUCAGCGAGUUCCUAUGUUGAAUUUUCCUUGGUAUUCUUGGAAGCGGCGUCUUGACUUGGGAUAGAUCCUUGUAAUUGUUGGUUUUGAACGAGGAAUUCCUUGUAAUCGCGGUUGAUCAGCUCGCGUUGAAUACGUCCCUGCCCUUUGUACACACCGCCCGUCGCUCCUACCGAUGAAUCGUCCGGUGAAGUUCACAGAGUGGCGGUUCGUGGAGUUGCUCGCGAAGUGAAAUGGACCUCAAGAUUUAGAGGAAGGAGAAGUCGUAACA
rnacentral:rRNA from 1 species